rnacentral:misc_RNA from 1 species
GAAAAAAAAACAAAAGCAAGGACCCAAAACCAAUACAGGAGGGCGAGCAAGCAGCCCUGAGCGGCGUUGGUGUCGGCGGCAGAGUCUGCAUCAGUGCAAGGUUGACGCACGGUUGUCCAAUUGUGGGCUUUGUGGGCGGGCCCGUUUUUCUUCCUCUUUCUUUUAGUUAGUGGCCCUUUGCUACUGGUGGCGGUGCUGGUGGGAGCUCCUCAAAGCCUCUGCAUCCGUUGCCACACACAUACACACACACACACACACUCAGGCAAACAGCCAGACACCCACCCACAUCAUCUAUCCGUGCUGCCAGGGAGAAGAAAAAGUGUCUUAACGUGCGCCCACUUUGUUUUUAUUUCCCCACUGUCGUGCCCGUUUCUUCGAAGUUUCGUCUCUGACCUUGCGCGUCGCCUCCGGUGUUCGUCUCCCCGCCUCUCCGCUCGCUUGUAUACUCCCCCUCUUCCACCGAAUAACUCUCUCUCUCUCGUUCCUUUGUGUAGCUGGGUGCGUGCGAGUGCAUCCAAUUCGUGAUUCCCUCAUCCUUACUCUUCCGACGAGGCAGCUAAUCGGUUCGGCGGCUCUUUUUCGCCAACUUCGUCUUGUAGCGCUCAUCCUCCCUCUCUGUUAGGCGCAGGUUUUUCGAUCCAAUGAACGGCGCGGCGCUUAUUGAGCAGGCCACUUUUGUCACGGAGCGGGCGUGGGAAUAUGCGAGCAACACGACCUCCGUCUUCAACAAAGCCCGCUCGCUUGUCGCCGGGGAUGCACAGUUCUUCUCGGUUGCACCUAGAGUCGAUGAUCUUCGACGCAGCCUGAGUUCGGAGUCGCUCCAUGACAAGCGCGAUGGCAUGAAGCGCAUCAUCGCGCAGAUGUGCAAGGGAAGUGACAUGCGCCACUUCUAUCCUGACGUAGUCAAGAAUAUCCACGUUCCCUCGAUCGAGCUGCGCAAGCUCAUCUACGUCUUCAUCGUCUAUUAUGCUGAAGACUGCCCCAACGAGACACUUCUGUCUAUCUCUGCCUUUCAGAAGGACCUGCUUGACCCCAGCAUGCAUGUCCGCGCCCUCGCCCUCCGCAUGCUCGCAUCGCUCCGCAUUCUUGCCAUUCAGCCGGUGGUGAUGGUUGCCGUGAGGAAGUGCGCCGAUGACAUGGCACCGCUGGUGCGCAAGACGGCCGCCCUCGCGCUUGUGCAGAUGCACACGGUAGCUCGCCAAGACCUGGACCGUGACACCGUGCGCCAGCUACUGCGAACGUUUCUGUCUGAUCGCAACCCUGACGUGGUCGGCGCAGCCGCGCUGGCGUACACGCGGAUCUGCCCGGAUGAGUGGGACCUGGUGCACGGCGUGUACCGCCGCCUGUGCAGGAUUCUCAAGGAUUGUGAGGAGUGGGGUCAGGUGGUGCUGCUGCGCCUGUUGCUGCGCUACGCUCGCCGGCACUUCGUGGAUCCCAGUGGGCCGUUUGCGGCCAAGGCUGCCCGAUGCAGCCGUGGCUCCUCGAGUUCCAGCGGGGAAGGGACGGACAGUGACGACGACGAUGCAACGUCCUCGUCUCGCUCCUCCUUCAACAUGACACCGUCACGGGGGCGCGACGCCAACAAGAGCGACGCCGCCGCUGAUGCACAGAUGGACCCAGAUCUGCUGCUGCUUCUCAACUCGACUCGGCCGCUGCUGUGGAGCAUGAACAGCGCCACGGUAGUCGCGACCAUCGCGCUCUUAUGCCACUGCGGCACACGACGCUUUCAGGAGGCGUGCGUGAAGCCGGCGAUGCGACUGCUGAAUACGUGCACCGAGGGCCAUAUUGCCGUGCUGCAUGUCGUCUACGCCCUGGUGUUGCUGCAACGCGAUGCAUUCCUUCCGUACCUGAAGAGCUUCUUUUUGCUCCCCCUGGACGCGGCCGAUGUGCGGCACGUUAAGCUACGCAUCCUCUCCCGCCUGGUAACGCCGGCCACCUGGACGGAGGUGUCUCGGGAGUUCCGGUCCUACCUGCGGCAGUACAACGACGCCGCCGUUGUCGAGGCGAUUCAAGGGCUGGCGCAGGCUGUGCAGCAAUACCCACCCUUCGCAGCACACACCAUCCGUCUCGUGACCCCGCUGCUCUCAAGUCGGACCAGCUCACCCGCUGUCGUCGCGGAGGCUGUAGCGGUGCUGCGGGUGCUCGUACUGCAAGGCACCGACCCCGUGCGCAUCUCUCGGCUUGCCUGCCAGCUGACACUUGACAUUAUGGAGCAGCGAAUCACGGAGCCGUCGGCGGUGGCGACAAUUCUCUGGUUGACCGGCGAGAACAUAUCCAAGCACCCCUCCAUGGCCGCUGCGGCGCCGGACUGCUUCCGCGUGUUUGCGAAGCGCUUCGGUGGCCUCACUUCGGAGGUGAAGCGACAGGUUCUCACGUUGGGCUGCAAAGUGUGGGUGCACUUGCAGGGCAGCAGCGAACUCUCGGAGCGCUUCAAACGGGUGUACCACUACGUCGCAGAGCUAGCCAAGUACGACGAUGACUACAGAAUUCGUGACGAGGAGCGCCUCAUUGAAGCGACGUUUGAUCGGCAGAGCGACACAUUCGCAGGUGUGCAGACCGCGCUGAUGCGUGAAAAGCCGCUGCCAGACGUCAACGACCCAUACGCCGAUCGAGCCGGCCUGGAGAUUGGUACCUUCUCCCGGCUGCUAGGGUCGGCCGUGCGCAUCUACGACCCGCUGCCGACUUGGGCGACGGAGGCGACAGAUGGGGCACUACGCCGCUCCAUCGAAGAGAUGAACGCGACUGCCGCCGCGGUAACCAUGUUUGAGUCCACCUCCGGUGAGGAAGAGAGCGGCAGCAAUAACAGCAGUGACACGGAAGGGGAAGAGAGCGACGACAGCGACGGCGCAGCCUCGCCGUCCGGCUCCUACGAGUCCAGCUACAGCGGCUCCAGCGACGUGGGUGAUGUGAGCGGCAAGUCGAGCUCCGCGUCUGACAGCAAUGCCGCGGCUCCGUGCGGCGCUUCAGCGGCGCAGAAGGCCGGCAGCGGUGCUGGCACAGUGAAAGCAUCGCCGCCCAAAUUCACGGUGAAGGUCACGAUGCAGUCGGCGCCACCGCCCGCUCCUCCUCCAGCUCCAGCACAGGCGGGUGAAAAGACAGAUGCCGUGCUUGCUGUGGUUUCAGAGCUGCCGCCAUCGCCACAGACGGUCACGGAGCCUCACUCAGUCGUAGAGGCGUAGGCGACAAGUUUGUGCUUAUUCUUUCCCUCCCUCUAUUUGUGUGCCAGCUGUAGGUGGUUCAGUGCAGCAGCUCUCACAUUGAUACCGCAGUGGCGCGCUUGCGGAGGAGGGGAUAGGACGAGAGGGCCGCGUGUCGAACCUGCUUGCAUCUCUCUCUGUGCGUCUGUGGCCUUGCUGUUGCUGCCCAUGUUGAGCCAUCGACUGUCUUGAUGGCGGCUCUCCGACUUCUGCUCUUCUUUUUUUUUGUUUGCUCAUCGCUGCUCAGACGCUCGAGGGGGGAGGGUGGCGGCGCUUGCGGACCGAAAGUCGUCAACGUCUUUUAGGUCCACCAGCUCCCUUCUCUUUCGCCUUUGUGGAACAAGAGCGGAAACAGACUAAAGGAAAGGGAAAAGAGUUCACAGAAGUACACCCGCACAUCUGCGUACCAGGAGACACGCUGCGCGAUUCACUCUCCUCCCCCACCUGCUCUUUAGUAGCAACCGACUAAACCCAACAAAGUGGUAUUCGAGAAACACACACACACACACACACACACACACACACAGGCAUACCCCCCCCCCCCCCCCCCAGAAAAAAACGAGCGGACCCCGCGAGCAAGCACCCACAGCGCGCACCGCGGGCGAACGCCACCCUACAGCGUGCCUUCACUGCCUCUGUGAAAUGAAGUGACGACAGUCGGUAGAGCCAGCCAAGGAAGCAGCCAAACUCAUUCCGGGUAUAGCCUGCACUCCAUCGCUGAAAGUAGUCAUUGGUGCAACACCCGCCCCUUCUCUUUGCUCUGCACAUCAGGGAACACGCCAGGAUUCUGUUUGCAUGAACUGUAUGCGCUCACCCCGUCGAUCUUCUUUGGCUUGACAGGCGACGGCGACAGGGUGGGGUGGCGUAGUGAGGUGAUAUCCGCGACCGUUCCAGCGUACCCUCGAUGGAGGGGAGGGGUUCACCUUUCUAGGUCGUC